UCGCUUAACACAUGCAAGUCGAACGGUAACAGGCCUUCGGGUGCUGACGAGUGGCGGACGGGUGAGUAACGCGUAGGAAUCUGCCUCAUAGUGGGGGACAACGUGGGGAAACUCACGCUAAUACCGCAUACGCCCUACGGGGGAAAGGAGGGGAUCUUCGGACCUUUCGCUAUGAGAUGAGCCUGCGUUAGAUUAGCUAGUUGGUAGGGUAAAGGCCUACCAAGGCGACGAUCUAUAGCUGGUCUGAGAGGACGAUCAGCCACACUGGGACUGAGACACGGCCCAGACUCCUACGGGAGGCAGCAGUGGGGAAUAUUGGACAAUGGGCGAAAGCCUGAUCCAGCAAUACCGCGUGUGUGAAGAAGGCCUUAGGGUUGUAAAGCACUUUCAAUUGGGAGGAAAACCUGCCGGCCAAUACCCGGUAGCUUGACAUUACCUUUAGAAGAAGCACCGGCUAACUCCGUGCCAGCAGCCGCGGUAAUACGGAGGGUGCGAGCGUUAAUCGGAAUUACUGGGCGUAAAGCGUGCGUAGGCGGUUCGUUAAGUCAGAUGUGAAAGCCCUGGGCUCAACCUGGGAACUGCAUUUGAAACUGGCGGACUAUAGUUUAGUAGAGGGGAGUGGAAUUUCAGGUGUAGCGGUGAAAUGCGUAGAUAUCUGAAGGAACACCAGUGGCGAAGGCGACUCCCUGGACUAGAACUGACGCUGAGGUACGAAAGCGUGGGUAGCAAACAGGAUUAGAUACCCUGGUAGUCCACGCCGUAAACGAUGUCGACUAGCCGUUGGCCCCUAUUUACAGGGGUUAGUGGCGCAGCUAACGCCAUUAGAGUCGAC
rnacentral:rRNA from 1 species